AAUUUAUGAAGGAAUAAUUGGUGGAUUCACGAACACUUAGAGACUAAUUUUUCUGUAUGGAAAACAAGACAAAGUACAAGCUAAAUAGAUGAUUUUUUAGAGGUUUUCCUACUAUAUAUAAGAUGCAGAGGUGAUGUAGCAAGGUUAUCAUCGAAUGGAUCAAUUGAUGCCAGAAGAAAAAAUUGUAUAAUAUAUAUCAUCUGACCCUUUAUUAUUGCAUAAAUAACAACUAGAAAUGAUGAUAAUUAAUUAUUAAUUGUUAUUAAGAGCAAAAACAUGUUAUAAACAAGUGUAGAAUGCGUAUCUUUAUACAAACUGGAUAAUGAAUAGUGGCAAAUGAAGAUGAAAAUUAUAAUACAGAUAAUAAUUAGCGAACAAUGGAAGCUUAAUACGAGAUAAAUAUUCAUAUCGAGUCGAAGUGGUUUACAAGAAACAAGAGAGUUCUCUACCAAUGUACAUCUACUACUCAAAAGAUAAGCUCUCACAUGAUGAGACUUAUUGACUACAAAAUAUAAUUUAAUACACCGUCAAAUUUGUUUAUG